UUUUAAUAUAGAAUCAACCAAGUUUAUAGAAACAGCAAAAUAAUAUCUGAAGACAUUUUUGAAAACGAUCAUCACAGAAUUACCUAAUAAUACGCAGAAUUACCUUUCACACAAAACAAAAUUACAGAAGCUACAAAGUAGCUUCUAAGACGCCAUCCUAAGGAAUAAUUAUCGUAUAGAGUGCCUUUCACAUUGAAUCUUACAAAACCACAGAAGCUAAGGUAGUAAAUAAUACAUUCGAAACGCUCUUCGUGAAAACAAACCCCAAAGAAAUCAAAAUCCAAACGUUACUUCGGAGAACAACACACAAUAUAUGCGCUCGUGUUACAAAACAUCGUAAAUCUACAAAACUCAUAAAAGUAUGAUGAAAACGUUAAAUGAUGAUGAAAAUACAUCGAGAACAAACGAAUUAUAUAGAAUAUCUUACCUGGUAUUACCAUUUUGAUCUACAUCAUUUUUUUUUUCGUAGUAAAAAAUGUUUCAGAUAAAAGUUGAAUGAUUUUAAAGAGGUUAUAUUUUGAUAUUAUUAAUUUCUUCGUAAAUGAAAAUAUAGAAAACUUGUAAAACUCAACUUUUUUAAAUGAAAUUAUAUACUUCUUAAUAUUAGAAAAAAUCCCUAGAAAAAUCAAAAUAUCAUUUUAAAAAACAAUCAUAAUAUAUAAUUGGCUUCUUAACCUAUCUUUAAUCUACAUCGAAAGUAUCAAUCUAAAUUUAAUAUAUCUACCAAGAAACGAGGAUCUCGCGGAACGUAGAUGCGAAUAAAGAGAAAAAUGUAUUCUGGGUGCGCCUACCAUUGUGCUGCCGGCACUGGGUUCUCGCAUUCGAUUACGCGAGACGAUCGGGCCGUUCGAGAGGCGAACGAGCGGGCAAGCGAACGGCUGCACCGGGCAAUACCAUGGAAUGGAAUGGAACGGAACGGAAUGGCAGGAGUGUUACAAAAUAUCAGCUUUCACCGUAUCAGCGCGUUACAGCUUUACACAGACUGACUCGGGUACAACUCUGCGAUGUACUUCACUUCUCUCUGUCUCCUUCGUCCUCGACGUUCGUUGUCAUCGAAGACAUAACGUCAUCGCGCGCCCUCUGGCAGUAUUUAAGAUCGUUUUUAUGCGUUCGAUCUAUCGACACCUCAUUGUUAAUCGUGAUCGUUCUUUCAGUGGGAUUGUCCUCGAUCAUCUUUUUUAUUCUUGAUCUAGGAGAUCGAUGAUAAUCAUAGAUGUAAUCAUAGUUACUUGAUCUCAGAUAUUUGUGGUUGUUGGUAUUCUUAUGACAAUGCAAGUGAUAAGUAGGUUGAGGUUUUAAUGGUUAAAUGUUUGAGGAGCCGAGACAGCUACGUCUGUCUGGUUAACAGCCUAAUAAAGAUAGCUCAUGGUUGGUUGAAGCGGUUUCGUUGGACCUCUAUUGGGAGCUCUUGAUGGGUAGAUAGUACGAAAAUGCAGUCAAAGGAGAUCGAGAAGAUAUUGCGUCACCGAACUAAGUCAUUCGUUAAUGGGAAUUGCAUUCGCAUAAAAAAAUAUAGCAGUUGCGGUUGAUUGCGGUGAUCAGUCGUUUCCUCGAAAAGAAAUUCGUAACACCGAUAAACAGAGAAAGAGAUCUCGGUAACUCCAUUGAUCAUUGCAUAAGAUAAUAUUUUUUUUUGUUUCUAGGAAAAUCGAAUGGCCUGAAUUGAGAUAUCUAAUGAUACUAAAAAGAAAUCAGAUAAAUUUAUAAAAUUUUAAGGUUAAGAAUCCUAAUAUUGUCUCUGAAAUCUUAUUGUUUUUAUUCAAAAUCUGAAAUUUUAUUGAUUUUAUAAUCUAAUAAAAUUAUUAUAAUUAUUUAAAUAAUUAAUAAUGAA